UACGUAGGUGGCAAGCGUUGUCCGGAAUUAUUGGGCGUAAAGCGCGCGCAGGCGGCCUUCUAAGUCUGAUGUGAAAGCCCACGGCUCAACCGUGGAAGGUCAUUGGAAACUGAAAGGCUUGAGUACAGAAGAGGAAAGCGGAAUUCCACGUGUAGCGGUGAAAUGCGUAGAGAUGUGGAGGAACACCGAUGGCGAAGGCAGCCCCCUGGGCUAAGAUUGACGCUCAGGCACGAAAGCGUGGGGAGCAAACAGG
rnacentral:rRNA from 1 species